rnacentral:rRNA from 1 species
UCCAGCCAUCCCACCUGCAGCCAUCAUCUCGUCAGAUCUCAUGAGCUAAGCGGGGCUGAGAGAGGUUAGCAUGUGGAUGGUAGGAGAGAGAGAGAUGGCUGGAG